rnacentral:rRNA from 1 species
AACGAACGCUGGCGGCAGGCUUAACACAUGCAAGUCGAACGCCCCGCAAGGGGAGUGGCAGACGGGUGAGUAACGCGUGGGAACAUACCCUUUCCUGCGGAAUAGCUCCGGGAAACUGGAAUUAAUACCGCAUACGCCCUACGGGGGCAAGAUUUAUCGGGGAAGGAUUGGCCCGCGUUGGAUUAGCUAGUUGGUGGGGUAAAGGCCUACCAAGGCGACGAUCCAUAGCUGGUCUGAGAGGAUGAUCAGCCACAUUGGGACUGAGACACGGCCCAAACUCCUACGGGAGGCAGCAGUGGGGAAUAUUGGACAAUGGGCGCAAGCCUGAUCCAGCCAUGCCGCGUGAGUGAUGAAGGCCUUAGGGUUGUAAAGCUCUUUCACCGGAGAAGAUAAUGACGGUAUCCGGAGAAGAAGCCCCGGCUAACUUCGUGCCAGCCGCCGCGGUAAGAC